rnacentral:rRNA from 1 species
GACGAACGCUGGCGGCGUGCUUAACACAUGCAAGUCGAACGGUGAAGCCUUUCGGGGUGGAUCAGUGGCGAACGGGUGAGUAACACGUGGGCAACCUGCCCCUGACUUCGGGAUAAGCCCGGGAAACCGGGUCUAAUACCGGAUAUGAUCACGUCCCGCAUGGGGUGUGGUGGAAAGUUUUUCGUCAGGAUGGCUCGCGGCCUAUCAGCUUGUUGGGUGGGGUGAUGGCCUACCAAGGCGACGACGGGUAGCCGGCCUGAGAGGGCGACCGGCCACACUGGGACUGAGACACGGCCCAGACUCCUACGGGAGGCAGCAGGUGGGGAAUAUUGCGCAAUGGGCGAAAGCCUGACGCAGCGACGCCGCGUGAGGGAUGAAGGCCUUC